AGCAGCCGCGGUAAUUCCAGCUCCAAUAGCGUAUAUUAAAGUUGCUGCAGUUAAAAAGCUCGUAGUUGAAUUUCGGGACCAUCAUGUCGGUCGUGCCUCGGUACGUACUGGCAUUGUUGGUUUCUACCUUCUGACGAACCAUGAUGUCAUUUAUUUGGUGUCGUGGGAAAUCAGGACUGUUACUUUGAAAAAAUUAGAGUGUUUAAAGCAGGCUCACGCUUGAAUACAUUAGCAUGGAAUAAUGAAAUAGGACGUUUGAUUCUAUUUUGUUGGUUUCUAGGAUCGACGUAAUGAUUAAUAGGGAUAGUUGGGGGCAUUAGUAUUCAAUUGUCAGAGGUGAAAUUCUUGGAUUUAUUGAAGACUAACUACUGCGAAAGCAUUUGCCAAGGAUGUUUUCAUUAAUCAAGAACGAAAGUUAGGGGAUCGAAGACGAUCAGAUACCGUCGUAGUCUUAACCAUAAACUAUGCCGACUAGGGAUCGGAUGAUGUUAAUUUUUAAUGACUCAUUCGGACG
rnacentral:rRNA from 1 species